CAGCGCCCCGAGUGGCAAUCGCGUUUAUUGGGCCUAAAGCGUUCGUAGCAGGUUCUGUAAGUCUUUUGUGAAAUCGGCAGGCUUAACUUGUCGGCGUGCAGAAGAUACUGCAGAACUCGAGACUGGGAGAGGUCAGAAGUAUUCCUGGGGUACCGGUAAAAUGGGUUAAUCCUAGGAGGACUACCGAUGGCGAAGGCAUCUGACCAGAACGGAUCUGACGGUGAGGGAUGAAAGCUGGGGGAGCAAACCGGAUUAGAUACCCGAGUAGUCC
rnacentral:rRNA from 1 species